CCUACGGGUGGCUGCAGUGAGGAAUAUUGGUCAAUGGACGGAAGUCUGAACCAGCCAUGUCGCGUGAAGGAAGACGGCCCUAUGAGUUGUAAACUUCUUUUGUACAAGAGUAAACCUGAAUACGUGUAUUCUGCUGCACGUACUUUACGAAUAAGGAUCGGCUAACUCCGUGCCAGCAGCCGCGGUAAUACGGAGGAUCCGAGCGUUAUCCGGAUUUAUUGGGUUUAAAGGGGACGUAGGCGGAUUGAUAAGUUAGGGGUGAAAGUUCACGGCUGAACCGGGAAAUUGCCUUUAAUACUGUCGAUCUUGAGUGGAGAUGAGGUAGGCGGAAUGCAUGGUGUAGCGGUGAAAUGCUUAGAUAUCAUGAAGAACACCGAUUGCGAAGGCAGCUUACUAAGCUGUAACUGACGUUGAGGCUCGAAAGUGUGGGGAGCAAACAGGAUUAGAUACCCCUGUAGUC
rnacentral:rRNA from 1 species